GUGCUCACUUCAGCAGCAUAUAUACUAUAAUUGUAAUGAUUCAGAGAAGAUUACAUGGCAUCUGCACAAGGAUGGCACACUGAUUCAUGAAUCAUUUCAUAAUUUU